ensembl:lncRNA
CUAACAGUGGAGCUUUGUGCUGUGGGAGCUCACAGGCUCUGUGCGGUCGGCUGGUUGUGUGUGUGAGCGAUGGCAACAGCAGCCUGAGCUGUGGGGAGCUGUGUUGGGCUGGAGUUUGUUGUGUCCCUUGUUGGAAGCACUGAGUGAGAGGUCUGGAGAGUCAGCGUGGCCUGGGGAAAGUGAUUCAACAAAGAUAUGGAGGCCCAAGGAAGUGCUCUGAUUAGCUGAGAUUUAUGAGCCAGGGAUGCACAUGUCACUUGAAACUGCUAAAAUGGGGCAUGGGACCUGGCCCUUCUUGGAUGCUGUGGAGAGCUUCAGACUAUGCUUUCCCACGUUCUUGUGUCCGUAUAUUCCUGAUGUCCGUGUACUUGUGUCCACGUUAUUGGUGUCCAUGUGUUUUUGCCCAUGUCCCUGGUGUCCAUGUACUUGAUGUCCAUGCUACAACAACUCUGGUAUUUCUGCACUCAUUAGCUUCAUGUGUUUAGGCUCUUCCUUUUGGUUCCAGGCCGACCUUCUUUUAGUCAUCUUUACAUCUUCAGUUUGAAAGAACCAGAUAUUUUCUCUAUACGGACAUGGAAUUUUCUGCAGAUCUCCUACUGAGCAGAUGAGCUGUGCUACUCUACACUGCAAAUCUGGGUUUGGCUGGAGGCUGCUUCGGAUGAACAUUUGGGAUUUUGCCAUAACAAGACCUGUAAAUCCAACUGAAAUUGCACAGCGUGUGUGUGCUCCAGGAACAAAAACCUCCACCAUGGUGCACUGAGCUGCCUUCUCUCCCCUAAAAUGGAUGGAUCCAUUUCGGUUCUGGCCCAGUGCCAUUUCAGUUGGCUUUCCAUCAUUACUGCUCACAUCGGGAGCUGCUGCCUUAAACCAACAUGAGUUGGAUGCCCCUCUUGACAAUUCCUAAGGCUCACCUGUUCUAGCAGCGCUGUACAGAAAUAGCUGUGCUCCUGAUGACUGAUCUGUGUAGCAUCAUGGGCAGAGUAUUCCUUAAAUGGCUUAAGAUAGCUUAAAAAAAAU